AUCCAACAAAUUGAUGCUCCUACCAAAUACAUAGCAGCAAAAUCGAAUUUAAAUGAUACAUUUCAUAUAUCCUGGCUACAGAAAAGCAUUAAAAUCUUUGAUUUUAAUCCGGCAACUGAAAUUAUUGCAACACAUCAAAGUCCAGAUAUUCGAUUUAAGCAUGAGUUGGGUGCAAGAAAUUAUACAAAAAAUUUCUUGCUUUGUGCGCUUGUAUAUUUAGUAAAUUUAACGGAAAAUUCGAAUAUCAACAAUGUAACAGAAAGAGACCAAAGUAUGUAGAGUCCAAGCCAUGCUCUAGUUAUCGAAAAUCUCAAAAGGUUGUGAAUUGACUGUCAAAUCAGAAAGAGCAAAUUUUAAUAAGCUAGAAAAAAAUUUGUAUAAUUGCUGAUGUUUUAAGUUUUAUGUUUAUACAUUUAUUCAAUUAUUAAAAAAAUGUAUUUCUCAAUCACAGCUCCAAUUUCACGUCAUCCAUAUAAACCAAAACAACAAUAAAUUGCUAAUUCCUGUUGACAUAAAAUAAUGAUAUCAAUCUUUGGCAUGUUCAAGUCGUCUGUUCCAUAAUUCAAGAACUUUUCGUUCGUAGAUGCGGAGUGAGAAACUGAGACCUGCUCCAGAGCCGUAUGAUCAUAGCGUUGAUGAAAGAGAACAUACUGUGGAACAAUGGAAGGAGUUAAUUU
rnacentral:sRNA from 1 species